AGUGGCGGACGGGUGAGUAACGCGUGAGUAACCUGCCUUUCGGAGGGGGACAACAGCUGGAAACGGCUGCUAAUACCGCAUAAUGUAUAUUGGUGGUAUCAUCGAUAUACCAAAGAUUUAUCGCCGAAAGAUGGACUCGCGUCUGAUUAGCUAGUUGGUAGGGUAAAGGCCUACCAAGGCUUCGAUCAGUAGCCGGACUGAGAGGUUGAACGGCCACAUUGGGACUGAGAUACGGCCCAGACUCCUACGGGAGGCAGCAGUGGGGAAUAUUGGGCAAUGGGCGCAAGCCUGACCCAGCAACGCCGCGUGAAGGAAGAAGGCUUUCGGGUUGUAAACUUCUUUGACGAGGGAAGAAAGAAAUGACGGUACCUCGAAAACAAGCCACGGCUAACUACGUGCCAGCAGCCGCGGUAAUACGUAGGUGGCAAGCGUUAUCCGGAUUUACUGGGUGUAAAGGGCGCGUAGGCGGGAGAACAAGUCAGAUGUGAAAUGUGGGGGCUUAACCCUCAAGCUGCAUUUGAAACUGUACUUCUUGAGUAUCGGAGAGGCAGGCGGAAUUCCUAGUGUAGCGGUGAAAUGCGUAGAUAUUAGGAGGAACACCAGUGGCGAAGGCGGCCUGCUGGACGACAACUGACGCUGAGGCGCGAAAGCGUGGGGAGCAAACAGGAUUAGAUACCCUGGUAGUCCACGCUGUAAACGAUGAAUACUAGGUGUGGGGGGACUAACCCCCUCCGUGCCGCAGUUAACACAAUAA
rnacentral:rRNA from 1 species